rnacentral:rRNA from 1 species
CCUACGGGAGGCAGCAGUGGGGAAUAUUGGACAAUGGACCAAGAGUCUGAUCCAGCAAUUCUGUGUGCACGAUGACGUUUUUCGGAAUGUAAAGUGCUUUCAGUUGGGAAGAAAAAAAUGACGGUACCAACAGAAGAAGUGACGGCUAAAUACGUGCCAGCAGCCGCGGUAAUACGUAUGUCACAAGCGUUAUCCGGAUUUAUUGGGCGUAAAGCGCGUCUAGGUGGUUAUGUAAGUCUGAUGUGAAAAUGCAGGGCUCAACUCUGUAUUGCGUUGGAAACUGUGUAACUAGAGUACUGGAGAGGUAAGCGGAACUACAAGUGUAGAGGUGAAAUUCGUAGAUAUUUGUAGGAAUGCCGAUGGGGAAGCCAGCUUACUGGACAGAUACUGACGCUGAAGCGCGAAAGCGUGGGUAGCAAACAGGAUUAGAUACCCCGGUAGUC